CAUGGAUUCCCUGAUUGCAUAACCCACGAGAAGGGACCCCACAAACCCUUACCCCCGCUCUCUCGUUCUUAUUCCACACUUCACUCACCGUUUGCAGAACAAUACAAGAAAAGGAGUGACGAAAGAACUCGAAUUUCUAAAUCCCACUCCUCCGGGGAAUAAUGCAAAAGAGGAGUAGCGGAGAGAAGUCGAGGAGCCCAUCAAGAUUUAUGUAAUACAAGAUUUGGGGGAUAUCUUUUUCUUUUUUUUUUUUUUUUGGGUCUGGAUUGGAGGAACAAGUGAUGGCCAAGAGUGGUGUAUUUGAAGGGGAUCCAACGACGGUGGUGAAGGCCGUGGAGUUGAAGAAGGAAUUGCAGAGAAUGGUUAGGGCAAUUGUGGAUGAGGAUGAUGUUAAUUUGGAGGCUCUCGAUAAAGCCCAGCAAAUGUUGUUUGCUUUGAGGGAAUUGAAAUUGAAGAAAACCGUUUCUUUGAAGCUGCAUAAUCAUCAUUAUGAUAAUGAAAUGGCUUCCGGCACGGUGCCGGAGGAGUUUAAGUGCCCGCUCUCCAAGGAACUCAUGAGGGAUCCUGUGAUUAUUGCCACCGGACAGACUUAUGACAAGCCCUUCAUCCAGAAAUGGUUAAAAGCUGGGAAUAGAACAUGCCCUCUAACCCAGCAAGUGCUAUCACACACUAUCCUUACACCUAAUCACUUGAUUCGGGAAAUGAUAAUGCAAUGGUGCAAGAAUCAUGGGAUCAAGUUGCCAGACUCUGUUUCGUAUAUGAGUGAAGAGGGCUUGACAGGAGCUGAUAGGGACCAUUUCCUUUCUUUAUUGGGGAAAAUGUCGUUGACGUUGUCUGAACAGAAAGAAGCUGCUAAAGAAUUGCGGUUACUGACAAAAAGAAUGCCUUCAUUUCGGGCACUUUUCGGUGAGUCAGUAGACGCUAUACCUCAGUUGCUGUCUCCGCUUUCUCAAAGCAAUUGUGAGAGUGAGGUUCACCCAGACCUCCAAGAAGAUGUAAUCACAACACUUUUGAAUCUUUCUAUUCAUGACAACAACAAGAAGCUUGUCGCCGAAACACCUACAGUGAUUCCCCUUCUUAUAGAUGCUUUGAAGACCGGAACAAUUGAAACAAGAAGCAAUGCAGCGGCAACGCUUUUUACAUUGUCGGCGCUCGACUCAAAUAAGGCACUAAUUGGCAAAUCCGGUGCCUUGAAGCCCUUAAUUGACCUAUUGGAUGAAGGGCAUCCUUUGGCGAUGAAAGAUGUUGCGUCGGCUAUUUUCAAUUUAUGUAUCAUUCAUGAGAAUAAGGUCAGAGCCGUUAGAGAUGGUGCAGUUCGAGUGAUACUGAAAAAGAUCAUGAGUAGACUGCAUGUUGAUGAGUUACUCUCCAUACUUGCUAUGCUGUCGACCAACCAAAAGGCGAUUGAGGAAAUGGGAGAGCUUGAGGCAGUUCCUUGCUUGCUCAGUAUAAUUAGGGAGACUUCUUGUGAUCGCAAUAAGGAGAACUGUAUUGCCAUCUUAUAUACUAUUUGCUUCAGUGAUCGGUCCAAGUGGAAGGUGAUGAGGGAAGAAGAGAGCAUGUAUCGUACAAUAUCUCAGCUUGCUCAAAACGGCACUUCCAGAGCUAAGAGAAAAGCAAGUGGCAUUCUUGAGAGACUGAACAGAGCUGUCAAUCUUACUCAUACAGCUUGAUUGAGUACUUUGAGCACAUAUUCUGUAAAUUCUACACCACCUAGUUUUUCCGUCCUUUGCGAAAAUUGAGGUUAGAGAUGAAGAUGUUGAUAUAAUUUACCAGGGGUUGCUCAAAAUGUACUGGAUGGCUGCAUGCAAGUCACUCAAUCUGAGAAAUGAUAAGUAUCUAAAAGUGAAGAAUAGAUUUUGUUGCCGUCACGUCACGGGCGGUGGUUCAUCAUUAGAGAAUAAAUUUGGCCGCCAGGGGCGGCGGCUUAUCAUUCAGUCUGAUGGUCCCCCAGUCUUUGCUAUUGCUCAUCAUCUCACUCUUAAAAUCGGUUUUCCUUCCUUCACUAAGGAAUCAAUUCUUUGAUAACCUAAAUUUGCUCCAACUAUGAAGGUAUAUUGCGAUACCACCACAUUGUCACCAUGCGCCACCGCUGACAUCCACAGCUGCCGGUUGGUCUGUCGUACCAUCAGCAAGUACUUCACCAUCUGCCACCACUGGCCGUCGGUCAUACCAACACCAAGUACUUGAAAAAUAUUCAUAAGAUAUGAAAGUUUUGCUUAUUGUAAAAGAAGGGUAAAACUAUGGAAUUCUUGAAAUCAAUUUCAGGAAUCUUUUAGUA